UGACUUCAGAAAGCCAGAGGGCUGCAGGCAUGGGGCAGAGGGGAGGGGAGCCACCGCUUCCUCCAGUUGUCACAGCAGGGAGACAACCUUGAAGGGCCGCACUGGAGAUACUUGCGCAAGGAAGAAUUCAGUGUUCAUGGAUAUGCCCCUUGCAGGACCGAGGCCAUCAGAAGGAGGACAGCCUUGGGAAGCCAUUCUGCAUGUGGUCAUCCUGCCCAGGUGCUAAACAAUGUCUGUGCUGCUUCGGUAUUGCCAGGACUGGUUGGACAUCGAACUGGAAAGAGCAAGAUAAUGGGCAACUACCACGUGAGGAUGAUAAAUGACUGCGCUCUACUAAGGACUAAGUAGGCUGCUGGAAAACAGCUGUUAGAAAUAAAU